rnacentral:rRNA from 1 species
UGGGGAAUAUUGGACAAUGGGGGGAACCCUGAUCCAGCCAUGCCGCGUGUGUGAAGAAGGCCUUAUGGUUGUAAAGCACUUUAAGCGAGGAGGAGGGUACUGGUAUUAAUACUACCAGCUACUGGACGUUACUCGCAGAAUAAGCACCGGCUAACUCUGUGCCAGCAGCCGCGGUAAUACAGAGGGUGCGAGCGUUAAUCGGAUUUACUGGGCGUAAAGCGUGCGUAGGCGGCUAAUUGAGUCGGAUGUGAAAUCCCUGAGCUUAACUUAGGAAUUGCAUUCGAUACUGGUCAGCUAGAGUAUGGGAGAGGAUGGUAGAAUUCCAGGUGUAGCGGUGAAAUGCGUAGAGAUCUGGAGGAAUACCGAUGGCGAAGGCAGCCAUCUGGCCUAAUACUGACGCUGAGGUACGAAAGCAUGGGGAGCAAACAGG